rnacentral:tRNA from 1 species
AUAUAGCUUAAAGAAAGCAUUAGAUUGUGAAUCUAAARAUAGAGAMUAAUCUCCUCUUAUUUACC